ACCGCGCGCGCUCUCUCAGUCUCUCCUUCUCUUGUGGCCACGACGAGCGACAUUCGCUACUCGCUACCGUCCUACGCCAGGUGCCCCAGGUCUUCUUCGGUUCCUUCGCCGGCGACGAACGCUACCAGGUACGCGCACCCUUUGUCUUCCCUUCCCUGCUGUGCGAAACCCUGCACCCAAACCCUGUACUCGGAUCUGAUAUAAUUACAGUGUAGACAUGUAAAUGGCUGCCCACUGCACUACUGCUUGAUUGGCUGGUUGCUGCUCUCUGCAAUUUGGGCUGCUCUCUGAUUGAUUCGGUAUUGUAGAUUGCUGAGAACUCAAUGUUUGAUUUCUAAUUGUGCAGAUUAGACUU
rnacentral:lncRNA from 1 species